rnacentral:lncRNA from 1 species
UUUAAUUUUAUUAUAAAUUAUAAAUUAUAAUUAGUUUAAUAGUUAUAAAGUUUAAUAAUUAUUUUUUCUUUGAUCGUAAUUUUGCUCUUCAUGUGACAGACUCUUAAAAGAACUCGACGAGUUAAAGGUAAUGCAUCUUUCAAAUCAAAAUUAUCAGAACGAAACUUCGAUAAGCAACUUGGAGGUUGUCGUUUACUUAAUACAACUUCUCCGUAAAUGGUACAUAACCUUUUUCUGGCUUACACUUACACCCUUACGAUAAUAAAAAUGCAAAAUAUGACAAAAA